rnacentral:rRNA from 1 species
GAGCACAGCCAUAUCACCCUGUAGAUCAAGACCAGUGGCUCACUAAAACUAAGCGAAGCUGAGCCUGGUUAGUACCUGGAUGGGAGACCAUAUGGAAAAACUAGGUUGCUGUUGGAC